GUACUCGCUUCAUCAGCACAUACAGUAAAACUGGAACGAUACAGAGAAGAUUAGCAUGGCCCCUGCACGAGGAUGACAGGCAAAACCCCUAUGAAUGUGCUGUUAAG
ensembl:snRNA U6 U6 spliceosomal RNA